NUGAUAGCUUCAGCAGCACAUAUACUAAAAUUGGAAGACUAGAAUGGCCCCUGCACAAGGAUGACAUACAAAUUCAGGAAGCAUUCCAUAUAGAA
rnacentral:snRNA from 1 species